GUCCCGCUCGCCCCUUGCCAGCCGCUCACCCCGCCGCCCCGCUCGUCCCGCUCGCCGUGGCCGAUGACCCGCACUCGCGCCACCUCCCCAACCCUUCCUGCCCCCUCGCGCCGCCACCCUACUGGCCUCGCCUCUUCCCCCCUUUCUCCUCCAGCGUCUCCUCCCCAUCUGCUCCGCUCCACCUCUCCACGGACGCGCCCAAGUCCGAGCGCGCCAAGUUCGCCGGCCCCCGCGCGCGCCUGCACCGGCUCCGCUUCGUCCAGCCCGCGCCGCGCCGCGUCGCCUCCUCCUGCGCCCCGCGGGCUCCGCCGCCCCCGACCGCGCCCCUGCGAAUGCCCCUGCAGCGGCUGCGCGCCCACGGGCCGCCCGCAGCGCCCCCCGCUCGGUCGCCGGCUCCCUCCGGCCGGCUCCGCUUCUGCCCAUGCCCCGGCCGGCUCCGCCUCUGCCUUUCAGCAACAGGGGAGGGGUGAGUCAACGGCGGCGUGCACAGAGGGUGGAGAGAAUUGCAAGAGCCUAGGUGCCCAUCACCAUGGUUUUCUCGUCGUUCGCGUGCCACCAUCGCGGUCGUUAUUGGAGCUUUGAAAAGGUUCAUGGGUCAGGCGACGUACAUGGGCGUGUCUGCUAAGCAGGCCACUGGGUGGGUGACGAAGUGAUGCAGUCAGAGGCCACCGGCGACCUCCGAGCCCCCCCUUCUCCGCCUCGUCACUGUCGCCACCUAGCUUGACCUCGAGCCGAAGAGCGACUCGGCAGGACGCCGGGGGACAGGGGCAGCAGCCAGCCGCGCCUCGCCCCGUGCUCUGCAGGUGCCCGUCGUCCUCGACCCGGCCUCGGCAGGAGGAGCUCAAGCCGAAGCCGAGGAGCGCGGCCUUGAUCCAGACUCGGCAGAAGGACUAUAGCAGCAGACAUGCCCGUUAGCUUCUCUCUCUAAUCCCCUUGAAACUACAUUCCCGAUCUGGAGCGGGAGGCCAGAGAUGCCUCGUAUGUGUCUCCGUAAUUUUCUUCUCAGUUUGACAAGGAAUAUGCCUAUGGUAGUCUUCUGAUUUUGGGUGUAGAUUCUGAUUUUGUUGGCAAAACAAUGGCAGAUUUCUCCAUUAGCUUAUAUGAUUUGGGGCUGAUUUUCCUCUUGUGAUUCCUGUUCAUGGCCUUGCUGUGGGAGAUUGCAAAAAGUGAUGUGAAUUAAGUGUGAAAAAAUAGCAGGAGCAAUGCCUGGGCUGUAGAUUUCUCCAUUAGUUUAGUCAUGGCUAAUAUGAACUUCUCUAGUUAUGGAUUGUUCAGUAAAAUGAAACCUCAUGGUGUAGCAGGAGCAAUGCCUGGGCUGUAGAUUUCUCCAUUAGUUUAGUCAUGGCUAAUAUGAACUUCUCUACUUAUGGAUUGUUCAGUAAAAUGAAACCUCAUGGUGUGGCAUGUCACCUCCCUUGCACAUAUACUUGUACCCAAUUUAGACCAUCAGUAGAACUGUCUAUAUUGUACAGGUCAACUAAUACACAGCACCCCGGCGGCCGGUGCAUACAGAUAACUGCACGCACACACAACGCCACCUGACUCCUAUUUCUUCAAUGCAGCACCGUGACAUGGCCAUACUCUGUAUGGACAAGGUGGCAGAUUACAAACUCUCUGCAGUAGUGGAUUUAAUAAACAAGAUGUCUUAGGUUUGAAAGCAACAUGCAGAUAAGGAGAUAACUUUGGAUAUGUUAUUAUCUUUUACCUUAUACGUAUAUAAUUUCUUAAUGUACGAUGCAGCUGACCUCACGGGUUGACUGACGGCGACACGAAAGCCGGAGGGAGCCAACCAUCUCUGCGGCCCACGCUCCUCUUGCCAACGACGACCGUGCCGUGAACCAGCUCUGCCGCUCGAGCUCCUCCUGGGUCCAGGUCAUGCUAUGUUUUAGUGCUCAUGGAGUUCCUCUGGCAUACGUUGAUUCUGGUGAUCCGUAUAAAACAUAGAUGGAAGACUAUGGAUCUUAUCAUGGAUGAGCUCGAAGAUACACGAAUCUCAAAUCCAUGUAUACAUCAAUCACACUCAUACCCGAAACUGAACAGGGACAAGCACAUGCAAUUAUAUGUUGUGGUAGAUUUCGAAAGAGACCCAGGGCCCAGAGUAGUUUUGCAAAAAUGGAGGAUACCAGACUGACCCAUGGAGCAUGAGAUCCUCUUUGUCAGGGGCCACCUUACUUGUAUGGCUUCAGGCUGAGGAGACCCUUCUAAUUAAGGUGGUUACUACUUACUUGCUGAUUUGAACCUAGAAGAGAAUGUCAUUUCGUGUUUGUCAGUAGGAUCUCAUGUUUAAUCUACAGAUCUAUUUAGUCAGUGUAUUUGCAGACCAGUUGCGAGUUUUUACCUGGGAAAAUGAACAUUUUUCUACCUCAAAUUUGCAUAUCAGUAUCCUUGUCUGAUUUAAGAUUGCUUUUCUUAUUAUGAAGAAGAUUUAUGCUGCUGCUAUUGCGUUCUUCAGUUUCUGGUCAUUGGUUCAUCUGCAAAUGUGUGGACCCCCCUCCCUUUUGCUCGAUUGCUCCACCUUGCUCCUUUGGCUGAUUAACAGCUAUUUCCGCAGCCCAUGACGCUGGUUGAGUAUCUUUAAUGCAGCCUAUUGGUUCUUAACUUACUACCAACUACUAGCGGAGAUAGCUUUCUGAAAUAAGCAUGCUAAGCAUGAACGUUGUUCUACUUAUGGGAAGAACCCUCAGAGAUCCAGGCAGCGUCUAGAUUGCUGUUAUCAUCCUCCAUCAACAAAACCAUGGGGUCCUUGUGGGAGCUGCAUACAAACCGUGUGGAUGUAUUUGGUUGGUAGCUGCAACAGCCUGCCAAUCGGAUAAGAGAAGCCAAGGGGCCAUCGGUGAUGGUGUAGCUUCAGCAUCCUGUCAAUCGAAGGAGAGGCCAAGGAGUCAUCGGCAAGAAGCAACCUUAUCCUGGACCUUGAAGUGGAGUAAUGGUUAACAAUGUUUUAUGGAUCAUAUGUUUUCUUUUGUUCACACUUGAGAGCUACAAGCAUUAAGAUGUUAUGAUAAAUUAUGUACCAAAGUUUGCUUUGUCUGUGGUCAUAUCUAUAUGUGUUAAUUUAUUUUCCUAUAGUCGUAUCGAUAUUAUUAUCCCUAUGAGUUGUCCCCUUUGUUCUAUAGUAAUGUAAUCAGAGCGAGAAAUGUAAAUGUGAUUGAAUUAUGGUGUGGCUCUUACAAAAAUAUGUAAAUGGGAUCAGAAUUGUGUAUAUAUUAUUGAUUUAAUAGUUUGAAACUAAGCCA